GAUGGAGGAUGCAAGUGUUAUCCGGAAUCACUGGGCGUAAAGCGUCUGUAGGUGGUCAAAUAAGUCAACUGUUAAAUCUUGAGGCUCAACCUCAAAAUCGCAGUCGAAACUAUUAGACUAGAGUAUAGUAGGGGUAAAGGGAAUUUCCAGUGGAGCGGUGAAAUGCGUAGAGAUUGGAAAGAACACCGAUGGCGAAGGCACUUUACUGGGCUAUUACUAACACUCAGAGACGAAAGCUAGGGUAGCAAAUGGG
rnacentral:rRNA from 1 species